AAGUGGCGACGAAGUACUAGUAGACAUUUCACAUUGGGCGCCGAGAAUAAGACUGCACUAUUCCAGUCUGUCUUUUUUUUUGCUGGACUGUGCUUCUUUCUGUUGUUGUUGUGCAUUUCCCGUGUACGUGCCUUUGGCAGUCAUACACUCCGCAGCUGCUAUUCCCACAUCCACACACCAGAAAGGAACCCGUUCGCUCCGUUCUUCUUUUUUUUUCUCCCCCUUCUCAGGAACCCGAGGCAGCGUUUGCAACGCAACGUUGUAAACCUAGAAGGCACACAUGCCAGCGAAAAAGGCAGGCCGCGCCAAGUCGUCUCUGGCACUCGCUGCCAGGGAAGCGGAGCUGGCGCAGGAGGCCGAGCUUCUGCGCCAAGAGACGGAAAAGGGGCGUCUCCGCAACGAGGAGUGUGAGCUGCGCCAGCUCAUCGAGGAGGAGUGGAGAAAGCUACUCGAGGCGCAUCGGAAUCGCGAAAGGGAUGUGCGCAACACGUUAGCCGAGGUGGAACGCAAGGCCUACUACGAUGCCAAGGAACGAGAAAUUGCUGCCAGCGUUGCGCAGAAGGUGCAGGAGCUGCAGGAGGCUCAGGCGACGCUGGCGCUCAAGGUGCGGGAGAAUGACUUGCUGGAGAAAGAUAAAGCGUCUGCGUUGCGCCGGGUAGGGCUACUCACAAACGAAUUGGAGCUGACGCAGCUGCGGCAUACGGACUCGCAGCAGCGGAUGGCCGCAGCGGAUCAGGCGCACCAAGAGGCGCAGCGAAAGUGGGAGGCAGAGUACGAUGCACUGCAGCAGGCUCACCAAGAGCUGGAGAUGAAGUACGCUAGGUUGGAACUCGAGCAGGCGAAGGCGACGAGCGCUGCGGAAGCCGCUGCCGCCGCUGCCGCCGCCGAGGAGGAGGAUACACGCGCUAAGAAGUCUGCGGCAGCGGCACCACCAGACGAUGAGGAGACAGUCAUGCUCCUGCGCGUGAUGCAGGCGGAGACAGAGCGCUACAAGGCGACGGCCACGGAGUUGCAGGAGGAGGUGGACCACGUCCGCAAGCAGGAGGAGAAGUCGAACUUGCUGGUCGGCAUCUUGAACACGCAGCUCGAGUCUGUGCGUGAGGACAACAAGCGACUACACGAGCUUGCCCAGAAGCGGCAGGCGGAGCUGGAGGCGGCCGGGCAGCUGCGCCGCGACGCGGAGGUGGCCCGCCAGAGUGCGCUGACAGAGAUGAUGCAGGCCCUGUCGGCCGCUGCCGUGCAGCAGCGCCAGCUGGAGCUGGAGCUUGACGUUCACCGCAACGAGGCGGAGAAGCUAAAUGCUGAGCUGUCCGAAGCGCGGCAGGAGUGCGCGGCGCUGAAGGAGGAGCUCACGUCAGUCUCGCAUAAAGCCGCCCAGCAGGCGCAGACUGACCACGCCACCAACACGGCAAUGCAGGCGGAGCUGGCCAAUCAGAAGAAAGACCUCGAAAUUGCUUUGAAGGCGAAGGAGACGGCCGAGGACGACAAGUUUAACCACAAGAUUCUCACCCGUGCCGAGAUUGACAGCCUCAAGACACGGCUGCAGCGGCUGCAGGAGACGAUGGAGCGCAAGGAUCGCGAGGCGUUCGAGACCAUUGCGGUGCUCAAGGCAGAUAUCGCGAAGCAGGAGUCUGCCAGCGCUCAGCUUCUCCGAGAGCAUGAGCUGGAUACGAACGCGCUACGGACGCAGCUCACGACGACGGAGACGGAGCGUGGCUUCCUCCGUAGCGAGCUGGACUCGCUUCAGGAGUCUUCCAGUAAGCGGGAGCAAGAGCUGUACGAGCAGCUCACAGAAGUUACCGCCCGUCACACGACCGCAAGCGAGGAGCUCGAGCGUCUUCGUGCUGAUACCGCGCGGAAAGACUCUGAGUACAUCCACAACACCAUCUACCUCAACGCCGAGUGCGAAAACCUCCGGACGAAGAUUAAUGAGAUGACCGAGACGGCAACGCAGCAGCGGCGCACCCACACUAACCAUGUAGAGCAGCUGCGCGUCGAGACGGAGCAGCUGAAGAGCCGACUCACAGAGGAGCUCCACACGCAGCAGUCUGCGCACGCGAAGGAGUGCGAGCGCGCUGACAUGGCGGAGCGUAACGUGCGCCGUCUACAGGAACGCAUUCGGGAAAUGGAGCAAGAGGCGCGCUUGACCGGCCUGAAGCACGACGAGGCCGUGAAGGCUCUGCAGGCGGAGAGCCGCGAUCUCCGCAGCGAGCUACUCAUCGCGAAGCGCACGAUUGAGCGCCUGGAGUGCGCGAUCGGUGACCAGGCGGGGUACCGCCAACUGACGGAGCUGAACGACAAGCUCACAAAGGAGUUACAGGCGUACCAGCGCAAUGUGUCAACGCUGAAAGAUAAGACUGUCGCUCUGCAGGUUGAGGCGGAGACAAUGGGCGGGUACAAGGUCAAGAAGGCGCAGGAAGAGAAGGAGCUGAUGGCACGCCGGCUGCAGCAGACGGAGCGGCGAUACCGUCUCCUCGUGCCCCUCUUCGCUCAGCUGCGAGAUCUCGUCGAGAACUACCUUGCCUCUUACGUGCACCCGGAGCUGUACGCGGCUCUCAAGGAUUACGACCGGCAGACGUCGUUGCUGCCGUUCAACUUCACCAAGGGCAGCUUCAAGGACGCUGGCGCCGCGCUGGACACCGCUGUGACAGCCGUGACCACCGAGAUCAUGGCCCCUGUCGCUACCGCAGCCGUUCAGGAACACUGCGCUGCAACUACACCGGCGGCGCUGCAGCCUUGCCGACCGUCCUCUUCCAACACAGCUUGCACGAGGCUCCACAAGAAUCACUCGAUUCGCUCUAGCAUCGUCGUGACGGGCACGAACGUGGACUACGCCGCAUAUGGCCGCUUACCUCCCAUCUCCAAUGCUUGAGGUAUCAAAAGGAGAGUCUAGGCAGCGCACAGGAGUGCAGGAUUGUGUGUGUGUCUCUCUAGCGAUUUGGUGUGUGCGCGCGGAGUCCUUUCAUAUCUCGGGCACUUCUUUCAGACUCGUUCGUGCGUCUCUCCCCCUCUCGCUCGUCUUUAUGGCUUUGCCAGCUGGCCUCCCUGAUUUCUGACCCGCAUGCAAAGGUGUUGAUGUGGAUGUCGUUACACAUGUCUUUGCGCGCGUGGUCAUCGGUGCUGCAUGCCCUCGUCUCCCUCUUCUUUUCUUUUUUUCGUCUUUGCCCUUUGUUUUUGGUUUUGUUCUGGAAUUCUCAGGAGAUCGUUGGAUGAUGGGCGUCUCUUGUACCCCUGCUCUAUGUCUUGGACGUCUAUCUCAUCUCCCAACCAUCUCUCCCUCCUCUUCUGUUUUUGUUUCUCGGCCCCAUUUACUUGACUUAUCCGCUUCUUUCUCUACACCGCCCUUCCCUUCCCUUCCCUCGCGUUUUCGAUGUUUUUUCUCCAAGAGCGGGGUUUUCUGUACCCAACUUCUAUCUACCGCCUCCGCCCCCGGUGCCUCCCUCAUCAUCGCGCGUGACCACCCCUUCCCUUGCUCCCUCUCUGUCUCCCUCCGCGUGUGUGCGUCUCCGCCAUACUUUGCGAUGCCACCGCGCACGUGAUUAAUACCAUUGCAGAGAAGGGAAUGGGAACAAGUAACCGCGGCAGUGCGAGGCACACACACACAGAGAAUGAGAUUGCUGAUGGUAACCAGUCACGAAGCCACUUAAGAGCCAAUCAAGGAAACGAUUUUCGAGACUCGUACGCUACCCCUCUCUCUCUACUAGCUCGCGAUGCAUGCGACACGCUCUCUCGUACUCUCUGUUGUGCAGGUCCGUUCGCGUUUUUGUACACUUUCACAUGUAAAGUAAGGCGCUCCUCGUUUUCUUGUGCCGAGUCUGAACCGACUGCAGCCUCCCUUCCCACCUUCCCCCCCCCAAAAAAAAAACAAAGAGCAUCACAAGUUCCGUCUGUGCCUUGUGCAAUGUACCCAGGCACCCAAAGCCGUGCAAGAGUUUUCGAGACGUGCAUCCCUGCCUCUGUCCUGGGGAGCGGAGCGUGGAUGAGCCAGUUUUCUCUUGCGGCGUUGUACAUAGGAGCCGUCUCCGCGCAGACUCAUGCCCUGCUCUCGCAUACGUGCGUACCUUUGUUGUACGGCGCAACUGAAAACAUGAGCACACUCUUCGCUGUGAGUUCCCUCCUAUCUAACGCCACUUUCCUGAACUCUUUUUCUUUUGGGUUGGUUGGGUGGGGGGGGGUACUCGGAGCUCCCUCUCUCCCUCUAUGUGCGCGCGCGGCUCAG
rnacentral:misc_RNA from 1 species